rnacentral:snoRNA from 1 species
UUUGGCAAAUGAUGAAGAAAUUCUUAUCCUACACACCGAAUUUAUCGUGUAGACUACAACUCCGCUUAUUAUCUGAUGCCGUA